UGGGGAAUUGUUCGCAAUGGGCGCAAGCCUGACGACGCAACGCCGCGUGGAGGAUGAAGGUCUUCGGAUUGUAAACUCCUGUUGCUCGGGACGAAAUGCUUCGACCUAACACGUCGAAGUUUGACGGUACCGAGUGAGGAAGCCCCGGCUAACUCUGUGCCAGCAGCCGCGGUAAUACAGAGGGGGCAAGCGUUGUUCGGAAUUACUGGGCGUAAAGGGCGCGUAGGCGGCCUGUUAAGUCGAACGUGAAAUCCCCAGGCUCAACCUGGGAACUGCGUCCGAAACUGGCAGGCUUGAAUCCGGGAGAGGGAUGUGGAAUUCCAGGUGUAGCGGUGAAAUGCGUAGAUAUCUGGAGGAACAUCGGUGGCGAAGGCGACAUCCUGGACCGGUAUUGACGCUGAGGAGCGAAAGCCAGGGGAGCAAAC
rnacentral:rRNA from 1 species